AUCGAACGCUGGCGGCAGGCUUAACACAUGCAAGUCGAGCGAGCGGAGGACGGGUGAGUAAUGUCUGGGAAACUGCCUGAUGGAGGGGGAUAACUACUGGAAACGGUAGCUAAUACCGCAUACCAUCAUUUGUGCCCAGGUGGCAUUAGCUAGUAGGUGGGGUAAUGGCUCAUCUAGGCGACGAUCCCUAGCUGGUCUGAGAGGAUGAACGGCCAAACUGGGACGGAGACACGGCCCAGACUCCUACGGGAGGCAGCAGUAGGGAAUAUUGGACAAUGGGCGCAAGCCUGAUGCAGCAAUGCCGCGUGUGUGAAGAAGGCCUUCGGGUUGUAAAGCUCUUUCGUCAGGGAGGCGGUACCCGCAGAGGAAGCACCGGCUAACUCCGUGCCAGCAGCCGCGGUAAUAC
rnacentral:rRNA from 1 species